rnacentral:rRNA from 1 species
CCUAUGGGGGGCAGCAGUCGCGAAAACUUCACAAUGGGGGCAACCCCGAUGAGGGAAUUCCUAGUGCUAGCACAAUUGUGUUAGCUUUUCUCUAGCGUAGAUAACUGGAGGAAUAAGGGCUGGGAAAGACGGGUGCCAGCCGCCGCGGUAAUACCUGCAGCCCAAGUGGUGGUCGAUUUUAUUGAGUCUAAAACGUUCGUAGCCGGUUCGAUAAAUCUUUGGGUAAAUCGGGGGGCUCAACCUUCCGACUUCCGAGGAGACUGUCGAACUUGGGACCGGGAGAGGCUAGAGGUACUUCUGGGGUAGGGGUAAAAUCCUGUAAUCCUAGAAGGACCACCGGUGGCGAAGGCGUCUAGCUAGAACGGAUCCGACGGUGAGGGACGAAGCCCUGGGUCGCAAACGGGAUUAGAUACCCCCGUAGUCC